UACGUAGGGGGCAAGCGUUGUCCGGAUUUAUUGGGCGUAAAGAGCGUGUAGGCGGCUAGGUAGGUCCGUUGUGAAAACUCGAGGCUCAACCUCGAGACGUCGAUGGAAACCAUCUAGCUAGAGUCCGGAAGAGGAGAGUGGAAUUCCUGGUGUAGCGGUGAAAUGCGCAGAUAUCAGGAGGAACACCGGUGGCGAAGGCGGGUCUCUGGGCCGAUACUGACGCUGAGGAGCGAAAGCGUGGGGAGCGAACAGG
rnacentral:rRNA from 1 species